GAAUUGUUCGCAAUGGGCGCAAGCCUGACGACGCAACGCCGCGUGGAGGAUGAAGACCCUCGGGUCGUAAACUCCUUUCGACCGAGAUGAACAUCUCCGGGGCUAAUAUCUCCGGAGACUGACAGUAUCGAGGGAAGAAGCCCCGGCUAACUCCGUGCCAGCAGCCGCGGUAAUACGGGGGGGGCAAGCGUUGUUCGGAAUUACUGGGCGUAAAGGGUUCGUAGGUGGCCAGCUAAGUCAGACGUGAAAUCCCUCAGCUUAACUGAGGAACUGCGUCUGAUACUGGUUGGCUUGAGUGCAGGAGAGGAACGCGGAAUUCCAGGUGUAGCGGUGAAAUGCGUAGAUAUCUGGAGGAACACCGGUGGCGAAGGCGGCGUUCUGGACUGCAACUGACACUGAGGAACGAAAGCCAGGGGAGCAAAC
rnacentral:rRNA from 1 species